rnacentral:tRNA from 1 species
GCGAAAGUGGCGGAAUUGGCAGACGCGCUGGACUUAGGAUCCAGUAGGGAUAACCUGUAGGGGUUCGAGUCCCCUCUUUCGCACCA